rnacentral:rRNA from 1 species
GAUGAACGCUGGCAGCGUGCCUAAUACAUGCAAGUCGAGCGAACGGACGAGAAGCUUGCUUCUCUGAUGUUAGCGGCGGACGGGUGAGUAACACGUGGAUAACCUACCUAUAAGACUGGGAUAACUUCGGGAAACCGGAGCUAAUACCGGAUGAUAUUUUGAACCGCAUGGUUCAAAAGUGAAAGACGGUCUUGCUGUCACUUAUAGAUGGAUCCGCGCUGCAUUAGCUAGUUGGUAAGGUAACGGCUUACCAAGGCAACGAUGCAUAGCCGACCUGAGAGGGUGAUCGGCCACACUGGAACUGAGACACGGUCCAGACUCCUACGGGAGGCAGCAGUAGGGAAUCUUCCGCAAUGGGCGAAAGCCCGACGGAGCAACGCCGCGUGAGUGAUGAAGGUCUUCGGAUCGUAAAACUCUGUUAUUAGGGAAGAACAUAUGUGUAAGUAACUGUGCACAUCUUGACGGUACCUAAUCAGAAAGCCACGGCUAACUACGUG